UACGUAGGUGGCAAGCGUUGUCCGGAGUUAUUGGGCGUAAAGCGCGCGCAGGUGGUUCCUUAAGUCUGAUGUGAAAGCCCACGGCUCAACCGUGGAGGGUCAUUGGAAACUGGGGAACUUGAGUGCAGAAGAGGAAAGUGGAAUUCCAAGUGUAGCGGUGAAAUGCGUAGAGAUUUGGAGGAACACCAGUGGCGAAGGCGACUUUCUGGUCUGUAACUGACACUGAGGCGCGAAAGCGUGGGGAGCAAACAGG
rnacentral:rRNA from 1 species